ACAAACACGUUUGUUUCGAGAUCCACGCUGCGUCUGUAAAGCAAUGUCGCGGAGUCGCAGACGCGUACCAGGGGAUGGAUUCGAGAGGAGGCGAGCAGCAGUUGGGUGUGUGUGUCUGUACCCACCUUGGAUUCGUCGAGACUUCGGUGGGCCCACUUCGGGUUGAUGAUUCCCAAGCUCUUCUUCACCCUUGAGUCUGAGAUUGCGUCGGCAUUCUUCGACGCAGAAUUUGCUGUCAUUCUUCGCUUUCGACAGACAGUGUGGGAAUCGUUUGAGACGCCGGUGGUUAGAUCUCGAGAUUUUGUGACGGAUUGAUAGCCUGAGAGGAUGGAGUACUCACCGCGCUAUGCUCGAGUGAGGAAGGCUGCGGAGAUGAAGCGCGGAGGGUGGAUGCCGUUGGGGCGUCGGGGCAAAAUCAAGAGGAUGCUUGUCCAGUCAUGCCUUGCGGCUGUUUGUUGCCUGUGCUGCUUUCGGAGUCACUCUGACGACGCAGAGAAGUCCCGGGAGGAUGAAGUGGCCAUGACCCAAGUGGGCAUGGCAGAUCAGGGUCCGAUUUCUUCACAAAACCCUUUCGACCCAGAGUUUUAGGAGUAGUGCAUCGCUCUUCCUGCGUCAAGGUCUUCCUAAUCCAAACUGAUCGCCAUUGCGGCGUUACCUUCAUGUGCUCGUAACUAUGUAAACCUUCUAUCUGCAGUGUGUUCAUGAUGUUCUAUCCUCGUCGAAGAUUACUGCUCUCGAUUUAAUUAGACAUCAGAGAGUCACACAAUUAGUUAGUCCACAACAGUUUUUGUAAGGAACCCACUCGGUUCUCACUUGCUAGUCGAGUGUAGUUUUAGAAUCACGAACAUCGGGAUUACCAAGAGUAGUUGACUCAUCCAAACGGCAGGAUCGAAACCCUAAACAUCAGCUUGCUUGCUUCAAACAAGAUGUCAAUUUGUACAGUGCCAUUGCUCAUUCACGGGAAAUUGUGCAUAUGGUGCAGACAGAAAGCUGGAACUGAGACAUUCUCAAGCUUGAAAUGAAUCAAAUCAUUUUUUUAUCAUGAUUUUAGGCA